AACAACGAAGGAGGAGCCGUCGGGUCGAAAUACCCUGACCAAUCACGGGAAGCUCGUGGAAAUCGAGCGCUGCCCCGCAACUGUAAUCCGAGGCAUUCCCUUUGCAGAAGCCACUGUCCCCCCUGUUUAGAUUUGCGAAGCAAAUCUAGGGGGGAUGGGAAGGCGCAAAGGUGUCCGGUGAGCCAGGAGACCGAUUGGCCGGGAGUCACCGAU
rfam:Omnitrophica WOR_2 bacterium RIFCSPLOWO2_12_FTLL_63_16 rifcsplowo2_12_scaffold_1384, whole genome shotgun sequence.